UGGGGAAUAUUGGACAAUGGGCGAAAGCCUGAUCCAGCCAUGCCGCGUGAGUGACGAAGGCCUUAGGGUUGUAAAACUCUUUCGUCGGGGACGAUAAUGACGGUACCCGAAGAAGAAGCUCCGGCUAACUUCGUGCCAGCAGCCGCGGUAAUACGAAGGGAGCUAGCGUUGUUCGGAAUCACUGGGCGUAAAGCGCACGUAGGCGGAUAGUUAAGUCAGGGGUGAAAUCCCGGAGCUCAACUUCGGAACUGCCUUUGAUACUGGCAAUCUCGAGUCCGAUAGAGGUGGGUGGAAUUCCUAGUGUAGAGGUGAAAUUCGUAGAUAUUAGGAAGAACACCGGUGGCGAAGGCGGCCCACUGGAUCGGUACUGACGCUGAGGUGCGAAAGCGUGGGGAGCAAACAGGAUUAGAUACCCNCGUAGUCCCUGAGCGGGCUGGCAAGGCGCAU
rnacentral:rRNA from 1 species